GAAGGAGCCUCUCAGUCUCCGGAAUAGCGAAGUCGGAGACUGAGUGAUAACGGUCGUGCGACGAUGAGGUGCUCCGACCAUUCUAGUGACGGAGCCUCUCCGACCAUUCCAGUGACCCAGUGAUAACGUUCACCGGAAUCGCCAACUCAGUCGAGGAUGCUCUAUUAACUCACUCAGGACUGAAUUCGUCUCUAGGCUUCCCGACAAGGUCCGUUCUGGUCUUGACGUUGAGUCCAGUCCAUACGAUAUCGACCUAACUCGGACUAGUGGCUUGAGUGGAGGUUUGUUUCAACUUCAAUUAAAGAAAACUAUGUUUGGUUACUGAGAAAAUGCGCUCAAGUUAUAUGUCAGAGGAGGUUUGUUUGAAAAUUCUAGAGAAUUGUUAGCUGAACUGCAAGCUAAGGGCUACGCCGAAGAUGAGAUGCCAUACUGUUUAUUGAUGAAUGCACUUGCUAAGACUGGACAGAUCAAUGAAGCUAAAUCAGUUUUUGAUGAAAUGCUUGAGAAAUGCGUUAGCUCAGAUGGUUAUUCCUACAGUAUCAUGAUUUCAGCAUUCUGCAGAGGCGGGCUUUUGGAAGAAGCAAAGCAAUUGGCCAAGGAUUUUGAAGCAAGAUAUGACACAUACGACUUGGUGAUGUUUAACACUAUGCUCUGUGCUUACUGCAGAGUAGGCGAUAUGGAGGCAUAAUGGAAAUGUUAAAGAAAAUGGAUGAAUUAGCUAUCAGUCCUGAUUAUAAUACCUUUCAUAUCCUAAUAAAAUAUUUCUGUAAGGAGAAGUUGUAUUUGCUUGCUUACCAAAUGACAGUGGACAUGCACAAUAAAGGCCAUCAAUUAGAUGAGGAACUCUGUUCCUCCCUAAUAUUUCAUCUUGGUAAGAUGAAGGCACACGCAGAUGCUUUUUCUGUCUACAAUAUGUUGAGAUAUGGCAAAAGCACCAUGUGCAAGGCUAUCCAUGAAAAGAUUCUCCACAUUAUAAUCGUUGGCCGACUUUUGAAAGAUGCCUAUGUUGUAGUAAA